UACGAAGGGGGCUAGCGUUGUUCGGAAUUAUUGGGCGUAAAGGGCGCGUAGGCGGUGCGGCAAGUCACCUGUGAAACCUCUGGGCUUAACCCAGAGCCUGCAGGCGAAACUGCCGUGCUGGAGUGUGGGAGAGGUGCGUGGAACUGCGAGUGUAGAGGUGAAAUUCGUAGAUAUUCGCAAGAACACCAGUGGCGAAGGCGGCUCACUGGCCCGGUACUGACGCUGAGGUGCGAAAGCGUGGGGAGCAAACAGG
rnacentral:rRNA from 1 species